rnacentral:rRNA from 1 species
ACUACCGAUUGAAUGGUUUAGUGAGGCCUCCUGACUGGCGCCGAUACUCUGGCAACAGAGCGCCGGAUGCCGGAAAGUUGGUCAAACUUGAUCAUUUAGAGGAAGUAAAAGUCGUAACAAGGUUUCCGUAGGUGAACCUGCGGAAGGAUCAUUACCGAUACCGUCCAAGAAAAAAACAACUCUGCGUUGUUUUUUUGCCCUGUGAACCGUACCCAAUCGUUUAGGGGUCGGCCUGGCCGUUAAAUGGCGAGCGGACGCGACGCGCCAAAGGUGCUCGCGGCCGGCCUCGCCAGCCCCGCCUGUGUGUUUUUUUUUUAACGUACGUGUCUACGGUCUGAUGUUGCGGCCUGAUGAGGGCCGAGAGUUGGAAAUGCGAGAGACAACUUUUGACGGUGGAUCUCUUGGCUCACGCAUCGAUGAAGAACGCAGCCAGCUGCGAUAAGUAGUGUGAACUGCAGAAUUCAGUGAAUCAUCGAAUCUUUGAACGCAAAUGGCGCUCUUGGGUUCUCCCAGGAGCAUGUCUGUCUGAGUGUCGGAUAUCAUCCAUCGCAAGCACGGUGCGCCCGCCCGUGCUSGCGGCGUUGAGGCGUCACGGCCGCCGCACAGUGUCGGCCGUGUCCCUUGAAAGGCAGAGAGACUCGCCGCGGUCCGCGGGUAUCUUGAUUCCCGCGGCGCACCAGCGGAGGCCAAAAGUGUUGGCAGUCCUUCGCGCGCCGUCGGGGCCCCGCCGCGCGAGUCGUCCAGGCGAGACAUCCAUCUAUCUUUCUUGACCUCAGAUCAGGCAAGGCUACCCGCUGAAUUUAAGCAUAUUAAUAAGCGGAGGAAAAGAAACUAACAAGGAUUCCCUCAGUAACGGCGAGUGAAGCGGGAAGAGCUCAAAUUUGAAAUCUCCGGUGCUUGCAUCGGCGAGUUGUAAUUGCGAGAAGCACUUUCUAGGCGGAUCGGCCGUGCCUAAGUUGCUUGGAACAGCAGGUCGCAGAGGGUGACAACCCCGUCUGUGGCUCGGCCGGC